GACGAACGCUGGCGGCGUGCCUAAUACAUGCAAGUCGAACGCUUCUUUUUCACCGAACUUCGGUUCAUCGAAAAAGAGGAGUGGCGAACGGGUGAGUAACACGUGGGUAACCUGCCCAUCAGAAGGGGAUAACACUUGGAAACAGGUGCUAAUACCGUAUAAUGCUUUUUCUCGCAUGAGAGCAAGCUGAAAGGCGCUUUUGCGUCACUGAUGGAUGGACCCGCGGUGCAUUAGCUAGUUGGUGAGGUAACGGCUCACCAAGGCCACGAUGCAUAGCCGACCUGAGAGGGUGAUCGGCCACACUGGGACUGAAACACGGCCCAGACUCCUACGGGAGGCAGCAGUAGGGAAUCUUCGGCAAUGGACGAAAGUCUGACCGAGCAAACGCCGCGUGAGUGAAGAAAGGUUUUUCGGAUCGUAAAAACUCUGUU
rnacentral:rRNA from 1 species